UACGAAGGGGGCUAGCGUUGCUCGGAAUGACUGGGCGUAAAGGGCGCGUAGGUGGCCCGGUCAGUUCGUGGUGAAAGCGCGGGGCUCAACCCUGCGUCGGCCAUGAAUACUGCCGCGGCUGGAGCACUGUAGAGGCAGGCGGAAUUCCGGGUGUAGCGGUGGAAUGCGUAGAGAUCCGGAAGAACACCGGUGGCGAAGGCGGCCUGCUGGGCAGUUGCUGACACUGAGGCGCGACAGCGUGGGGAGCAAACAGG
rnacentral:rRNA from 1 species